GUACCUUCGGGUACUAGUGGCAAACGGGUUAGUAACACGUAGGUAACUACCCAUUACUCAGGCAUAACUAGUCGAAAGAUUAGCUAAUUCCUGAUGGUCUCGCAAGAGUAAAGCUCCGGCGGUAAUGGAAGUACCUGCGGCCUAUCAGCUUGUUGGUGAGGUAAUGGCUCACCAAGGCUACGAUAGGUAGGGGGCCUGAGAGGGUGACCCCCCACACUGGUACUGAGACACGGACCAGACUCC
rnacentral:rRNA from 1 species